CUUUACUAUAACUUGGAAUUGGGUUCGGGCUCUUCUUGCGCAGCCUAGGUGGGAGGCUAUGAAGAUUUCCUUCCGGGGAAGUUGGAGCCAUCAGUGAGAGACCACUCUGGAGAGGCUAGAAUCCUAAUGGUGGUCCUUGAAUCAGGACACUUGACAGUUUCAGGUGGGCAGUUUUUCUGGGGCGGAAGCCUCAUAAAGGGUAACUGAGGCGCGCAAAGGUCCCCUCAGUCUGGACGGAAAUCAGACAACGAGUGUAAAGGCAAAAGGGGGCUUGACUGCAAGACCUACAAGUCGAGCAGGAGCGAAAGCUGGCCUUAGUGAUCCGACGGUACCGUGUGGAAGGGCCGUCGCUCAACGAAUAAAAGUUA
rnacentral:rRNA from 1 species